rnacentral:rRNA from 1 species
UACAGAGGGUGCAAGCGUUGUUCGGAAUUAUUGGGCGUAAAGCGCGUGUAGGCGGCUUUGCAAGUCGGGUGUGAAAGCCCUCAGCUUAACUGAGGAAGUGCGCCCGAAACUGCAGAGCUUGAAUACCGGAGAGGAUGGCGGAAUUCCCCAAGUAGAGGUGAAAUUCGUAGAUAUGGGGAGGAACACCGGUGGCGAAGGCGGCCUUCUGGUCCAGUACUGACACUCAAGUGCGAAAGCGUGGGAGCAAACAGG